rnacentral:rRNA from 1 species
GACGAACGCUGGCGGCGUGCUUAACACAUGCAAGUCGAACGGAAAGGCCCUGCUUUUGUGGGGUGCUCGAGUGGCGAACGGGUGAGUAACACGUGAGUAACCUGCCCUUGACUUUGGGAUAACUUCAGGAAACUGGGGCUAAUACCGGAUAGGAGCUCCUGCUGCAUGGUGGGGGUUGGAAAGUUUCGGCGGUUGGGGAUGGACUCGCGGCUUAUCAGCUUGUUGGUGGGGUAGUGGCUUACCAAGGCUUUGACGGGUAGCCGGCCUGGGAGGGUGACCGGCCACAUUGGGACUGAGAUACGGCCCAGAUUCCUACGGGAGGCAGCAGUGGGGAAUAUUGCACAAUGGGCGGAAGCCUGAUGCAGCAACGCCGCGUGCGGGAUGACGGCCUUCGGGUUGUAAACCGCUUUCGCCUGUGACGAAGCGUGAGUGACGGUAAUGGGUAAAGAAGCACCGGCUAACUACGUG